AGCCCCGUCGUCCAGCGGUCAAGGAUAUCGGGCUUUGGACCCGAGGACCUCGGUUCGAAUCCGAGCGGGGCUA
rnacentral:tRNA from 1 species